GGUUCAUAAAAUCAAAGAAACUAUUAUUUACCGUUAUGAUGUCUAAAUUAAUAUCUGCUUACCUCGUAUUUUUCCUUGUGAUUGCUGUAAUAUUGGAAAAUCAACUAACCGAAGGACAAGUAGCGAAAAAAACAAGAAGAUGGAUUCCAGGACCUACGUGGCCUCCUCCCGGAAAGAAGAAAAGAAGUGUUCACUCGUGCGACGAUGAAAUCCUCGAGAUGGAACUGUUUGAAUUUGAUUAAUGGAUGGAUGAUGCAUCGCAAUGAAAAGGAUGAUGACGAAUUUUUUGCUCAAAUUUUCAAUUCA